rnacentral:rRNA from 1 species
CCCUUAGAUGUUCUGGGCCGCACGCGUGCUACACUGAGUAAAUCAAUGGGUAGGGGAACACGAAAGUGCAACCUAAUCUUGAAAUUUGCUCGUGAUGGGGAUCGACGGUUGCAAUUUUCCGUCGUGAACGAGGAAUACCUUGUAGGCGCGUGUCAUCAUCACGCGCCGAAUACGUCCCUGCCCUUUGUACACACCGCCCGUCGCUCCUACCGAUUGAGUGAUCCGGUGAGGCUCUGGGACCUGGACGGAAAGAGCGUUUCGCUUGUUCUGUUUGGGAAACUUGGUCGAACCUUAUCAUUUAGAGGAAGGAGAAGUCGUAACA